UACGUAGGGGGCAAGCGUUGUCCGGAAUUACUGGGCGUAAAGUGUGCGCAGGCGGCGUUGCAAGUCGAGUGUGAAAGCCCCGGGCUUAACUUGGGAAUUGCGCUCGAAACUACGAUGCUGGAGUGUGGCAGAGGAAGGUGGAAUUCCACGUGUAGCGGUGAAAUGCGUAGAGAUGUGGAGGAACACCGAUGGCGAAGGCAGCCUUCUGGGCCAACACUGACGCUCAUGCACGAAAGCGUGGGGAGCAAACAGG
rnacentral:rRNA from 1 species